rnacentral:misc_RNA from 1 species
AACCAUUCUCACCUGCGGCUAGACCUGCGGAAGGAUCAUCAAAGAAAAAUAAAUUGUGAAAAAUUUUUAUUUUUCACAAUUAUUAUUAAUUUUUUUUUCUUUUUCUUUUAUAGAAAAAGAAAAAAAGAUAACUUGUUAUUUUGUUUUGUCUCUGUUUUUGUCUUGUUUGGUGAUAAUUUUAUUAUUAUUACCCAAGACCUCUUUCCCCUUAAAUGUAUUGUGCAUUAAGGGGAAUGUCAU